AUUGAACGCUGGCGGCAUGCUUUACACAUGCAAGUCGAACGGUAACAGCACUUCGGUGGCUGACGAGUGGCGAACGGGUGAGUAAUACAUCGGAACGUGCCUAGUAGUGGGGGAUAACUACUCGCAAGAGUAGCUAAUACCGCAUGAGAUCUAAGGAUGAAAGCAGGGGACCUUCGGGCCUUGCGCUACUAGAGCGGCUGAUGGCAGAUUAGGUAGUUGGUGGGAUAAAAGCUUACCAAGCCGACGAUCUGUAGCUGGUCUGAGAGGACGACCAGCCACACUGGGACUGAGACACGGCCCAGACUCCUACGGGAGGCAGCAGUGGGGAAUUUUGGACAAUAGGCGCAAGCCUGAUCCAGCAAUGCCGCGUGCAGGAUGAAGGCCUUCGGGUUGUAAACUGCUUUUGUACGGAACGAAAAGCCCUCUUCUAAUACAGGAGGGUCAUGACGGUACCGUAAGAAUAAGCACCGGCUAACUACGUG
rnacentral:rRNA from 1 species